rnacentral:tRNA from 1 species
GGCAUAGUGACCGAGUGGUCAAUGGUGGGAGAUUGUAAAUCUCUUGAAUUUAUGUCUACGUAGGUUCGAAUCCUACCUAUGCC